rnacentral:rRNA from 1 species
UUAGUUGGUGGGGUAAUGGCCUACCAAGACUUCGAUCGAUAGCUGGUCUGAGAGGACGAUCAGCCACACUGGGAUUGAGAACGGCCCAGACUCCUACGGGGGGCAGCAGUGAGGAAUUUUCGUCAAUGGGGGCAACCCUGAACGAGCAACGCCGCGUGCAGGAAGAAGGUUUUCGGAUCGUAAACUGCUUUUCUCUGGGACGAGAACGGACGGUACCAGAGGAAUCAGCCUCGGCUAACUACGUGCCAGCAGCCGCGGUAAUACGUAGGAGGCGAGCGUUGUCCGGAGUUACUGGGCGUAAAGCGCACGCAGGCGGUCAGAUCAGUCUGGAGUGACAGUCGUCGGCUUAACCGACGAAGUGUUCUGGAAACUGUCUGACUUGAGGGCUUCAGAGGGACACGGAAUUCCGGGUGGAGUGGUGAAAUGCGUAGAUAUCCGGAGGAACACCAAUGGCGAAGGCAGUGUCCUGGGAAGUACCUGACGCUCAGGUGCGAAAGCUAGGGGAGCGAACAGGAUUAGAUACCCUGGUAGUCCUAGCCGUAAACGAUGACCACUAGACGUUGGGGGUAUCGACCCCUUCAGUGUCGUAGUUAACACGAUAAGUGGUCCGCCUGGGGAGUACGGUCGCAAGAUUAAAACUCAAAGGAAUUGACG